UGUGAUUGGGUGUUGGCUCAUUCGUGGAAUAUUCAUCAUAUGAUUAUGUUUCUACGUCCCUAAAAGUUGGGAAUUACUCCUCUGGAUCUCUCUCCAAUGGUGAAUCCCACCUGGGUGAAAUUUAAGAAUGCCCCCCCUCCUCUUCUCACAAAGAAAGGGGUUGGUUGGCUUGCUACGCAGGUUGGAGAACCGAUUGAUAAGUUUGUGCGUGAUAGUUUGACUGUGAAGGUCUGUGUAUUUGUUAAUAUGCUGAAGGAAGCUCUCGACAUUUUUUAAAAAUGAAGAUGGGGAGGAGCAGGAGUGUAUUAUUUGCAUUGAGUUCCUUCUUGCUAGAAAUGUGAAAAGAAUGUGAUAAGGAAUGAGGCCUCAAAGAUUGUGGAAAAGCAGUGCCAAGAGAAAGCAAAAACUUAGUCGGUUGUUGCAGUUGAUGAGAUUGUUGAUGUGGAGGUUAGAGUGAAUGCUAUUGAUACUGAUGUCAUAAAGGAAGUUGGGAAAACUAAUGAUGAGAUGAAUGAUAUUGACGUUCCUAAUGUUGUUAUUCAAAUCACUGAAGAAGUUAAAGAAGUUUCAUCAAAGGAGGAGAUUGAUGACGAAAUUAUUGUGGAGGAUAGAGUUCAGCAGGCCACUGAUUGCCCUCACACUCUACAGCUUGCUCUACUAAUACUGAUUCUAUUGCUGUCAAAACCACUUUUGAUGACUAUCUAAGUCAUAGCAAAGCGUGGUCGAGUAGAGGAGGAAAAAGGGGUAAGAAGGGUAAAUGAAGCUACUAGUUUGGAAUGUGUGUGGGUUUAAUUUCCAACAAAAAUUUAAAGUUCCUCAGUCUAUAGUUAGUAAGUCGAAUAUUGAUAU
rnacentral:lncRNA from 1 species